rnacentral:pre_miRNA from 1 species
CGGGGCUGUGCGAGGGCAGGCCGGGCGGGGGAGGCAUGCUGCCUGGCUCCAUCUCCCAGCCGUGCCUGCCCGCAGCCGAC